UUAGUACGAUUGUGAAAUAAUAUCAUAUGAUAUUAAACAGGGAAAAGAUUAUAUAGAGCCGAGGCUCUAAACAAUCAAAUUAAAGCAUACCUAAAAAAUUUCAUUAGAAGUGGUUGUUUUUAUAUCUAAAUAUCCUUAAAUUGAUCAUCUCGAUAUCAAGAUGCAUAGACAUGGAAAAAAAAUGGAAUUCAAGUUUAUAUCUAAAUAUCUUCAAAUUGAUCAUCUCGAUAUCAAGAUGCAUAAACUUGAAAAACAAAAUGGAUUUCAAAGUUUUGGAAAUAGUGUAUUUUGUAAGGCAGUUUUUUACCAUCAAUUUUCAAGAUUUUCAAGUUUUCAUAGAUAUGUCAAUCUACACUAUUUUUUAAUCUUUUUUUUUACAAAUUUUUACACUAUUUU
rnacentral:lncRNA from 1 species